rfam:Papio anubis isolate 1X1155 chromosome 8, whole genome shotgun sequence.
GCUGAUGCUGGCGGUGAUCCCGAUGGUGUGAGCUGGAAAUGGGUGCUACGUCAUCGUUGUCAUCGUCAUCAUCAUCAUC